rnacentral:rRNA from 1 species
AUGAACGCUGGCGGCGUGCCUAAUACAUGCAAGUCGAGCGAACAGACGAGAGUGCUUGCACUCUCUGACGUUAGCGGCGGACGGGUGAGUAACACGUGGGUAACCUACCUAUAAGACUGGGAUAACUUCGGGAAACCGGAGCUAAUACCGGAUAAUAUUUAGCUUCGCAUGAAGCAAUAGUGAAAGACGGUUCUGCUGUCACUUAUAGAUGGACCCGCGGUGUAUUAGCUAGUUGGUGUGGUAACGGCUCACCAAGGCAACGAUACAUAGCCGACCUGAGAGGGUGAUCGGCCACACUGGGACUGAGACACGGCCCAGACUCCUACGGGAGGCAGCAGUAGGGAAUCUUCCGCAAUGGACGAAAGUCUGACGGAGCAAUGCCGCGUGAGUGAAGAAGGUUUUCGGAUCGUAAAACUCUGUUGUAAGGGAAGAACAAGUACGUUAGUAACUGAACGUACCUUGACGGUACCUUACCAGAAAGCCACGGCUAACUACGUG